UUAAGCGACUAAGCGUACACGGUGGAUGCCCUGGCAGUCAGAGGCGAUGAAGGACGUGCUAAUCUGCGAAAAGCGUCGGUAAGGUGAUAUGAACCGUUAUAGCCGGCGAUGUCCGAAUGGGGAAACCCAGUGCAAUUCGUUGCACUAUCGUUAACUGAAUACAUAGGUUAACGAGGCGAACCGGGGGAACUGAAACAUCUAAGUACCCCGAGGAAAAGAAAUCAACCGAGAUUCCCCCAGUAGCGGCGAGCGAACGGGGAGCAGCCCAGAGUCUGAAUCAGCUUGUGUGUUAGUGGAACGGUCUGGAAAGUCCGACGGUACAGGGUGAUAGUCCCGUACACCAAAAUGCACAGGCUGUGAACUCGAAGAGUAGGGCGGGACACGUGGUAUCCUGUCUGAAUAUGGGGGGACCAUCCUCCAAGGCUAAAUACUCCUGACUGACCGAUAGUGAACCAGUACCGUGAGGGAAAGGCGAAAAGAACCCCGGCGAGGGGAGUGAAAAAGAACCUGAAACCGUGUACGUACAAGCAGUGGGAGCACCUUCGGGUGUGACUGCGUACCUUUUGUAUAAUGGGUCAGCGACUUAUAUUCUGUAGCAAGGUUAACCGUAUAGGGGAGCCGCAGGGAAACCGAGUCUUAACUGGGCGUUAAGUUGCAGGGUAUAGACCCGAAACCCGGUGAUCUAGCCAUGGGCAGGUUGAAGGUUGGGUAACACUAACUGGAGGACCGAACCGACUAAUGUUGAAAAAUUAGCGGAUGACUUGUGGCUGGGGGUGAAAGGCCAAUCAAACCGGGAGAUAGCUGGUUCUCCCCGAAAGCUAUUUAGGUAGCGCCUCGUGAACUCAUCUUCGGGGGUAGAGCACUGUUUCGGCUAGGGGGUCAUCCCGACUUACCAACCCGAUGCAAACUACGAAUACCGAAGAAUGUUAUCACGGGAGACACACGGCGGGUGCUAACGUCCGUCGUGAAGAGGGAAACAACCCAGACCGCCAGCUAAGGUCCCAAAGUCAUGGUUAAGUGGGAAACGAUGUGGGAAGGCACAGACAGCCAGGAUGUUGGCUUAGAAGCAGCCAUCAUUUAAAGAAAGCGUAAUAGCUCACUGGUCGAGUCGGCCUGCGCGGAAGAUGUAACGGGGCUAAACCAUGCACCGAAGCUGCGGCAGCGACACUAUGUGUUGUUGGGUAGGGGAGCGUUCUGUAAGCCUGCGAAGGUGUGCUGUGAGGCAUGCUGGAGGUAUCAGAAGUGCGAAUGCUGACAUAAGUAACGAUAAAGCGGGUGAAAAGCCCGCUCGCCGGAAGACCAAGGGUUCCUGUCCAACGUUAAUCGGGGCAGGGUGAGUCGACCCCUAAGGCGAGGCCGAAAGGCGUAGUCGAUGGGAAACAGGUUAAUAUUCCUGUACUUGGUGUUACUGCGAAGGGGGGACGGAGAAGGCUAUGUUAGCCGGGCGACGGUUGUCCCGGUUUAAGCAUGUAGGCUGAUUGUCCAGGCAAAUCCGGAUAAUCAAGGCUGAGGUGUGAUGACGAGGCACUACGGUGCUGAAGUAACAAAUGCCCUGCUUCCAGGAAAAGCCUCUAAGCAUCAGGUAACAUCAAAUCGUACCCCAAACCGACACAGGUGGUCAGGUAGAGAAUACCAAGGCGCUUGAGAGAACUCGGGUGAAGGAACUAGGCAAAAUGGUGCCGUAACUUCGGGAGAAGGCACGCUGGUGUGUAGGUGAAGUCCCUGCGGAUGGAGCUGAGACCAGUCGAAGAUACCAGCUGGCUGCAACUGUUUAUUAAAAACACAGCACUGUGCAAACACGAAAGUGGACGUAUACGGUGUGACGCCUGCCCGGUGCCGGAAGGUUAAUUGAUGGGGUUAUCCGUAAGGAGAAGCUCUUGAUCGAAGCCCCGGUAAACGGCGGCCGUAACUAUAACGGUCCUAAGGUAGCGAAAUUCCUUGUCGGGUAAGUUCCGACCUGCACGAAUGGCGUAAUGAUGGCCAGGCUGUCUCCACCCGAGACUCAGUGAAAUUGAACUCGCUGUGAAGAUGCAGUGUACCCGCGGCAAGACGGAAAGACCCCGUGAACCUUUACUAUAGCUUGACACUGAACAUUGAGCCUUGAUGUGUAGGAUAGGUGGGAGGCUUUGAAGCGUGGACGCCAGUCUGCGUGGAGCCAACCUUGAAAUACCACCCUUUAAUGUUUGAUGUUCUAACGUUGGCCCCUUACCGGGGUUGCGGACAGUGUCUGGUGGGUAGUUUGACUGGGGCGGUCUCCUCCCAAAGCGUAACGGAGGAGCACGAAGGUUAGCUAAUCCUGGUCGGACAUCAGGAGGUUAGUGCAAUGGCAUAAGCUAGCUUGACUGCGAGCGUGACGGCGCGAGCAGGUGCGAAAGCAGGUCAUAGUGAUCCGGUGGUUCUGAAUGGAAGGGCCAUCGCUCAACGGAUAAAAGGUACUCCGGGGAUAACAGGCUGAUACCGCCCAAGAGUUCAUAUCGACGGCGGUGUUUGGCACCUCGAUGUCGGCUCAUCACAUCCUGGGGCUGAAGUAGGUCCCAAGGGUAUGGCUGUUCGCCAUUUAAAGUGGUACGCGAGCUGGGUUUAGAACGUCGUGAGACAGUUCGGUCCCUAUCUGCCGUGGGCGCUGGAGAAUUGAGGGGGGCUGCUCCUAGUACGAGAGGACCGGAGUGGACGCAUCACUGGUGUUCGGGUUGUCAUGCCAAUGGCACUGCCCGGUAGCUAAAUGCGGAAGAGAUAAGUGCUGAAAGCAUCUAAGCACGAAACUUGCCCCGAGAUGAGUUCUCCCUGAGACUAUAAGUCUCCUGAAGGAACGUUAAAGACGAUGACGUUGAUAGGCCGGGUGUGUAAGCGCAGCGAUGCGUUGAGCUAACCGGUACUAAUGAACCGUGAGGCUUAACCUU
rnacentral:rRNA from 1 species